UUUAGAACUCGAGAUAUGGGCUGAACACUGAACAGUGUCUGGGCUGCAGGACAGAUUCGGACUUCUUCGUUGUUGCUACAAUUUGGACUUGAAAAUGGCCUAUGUCUUAGCUUUCCAUCCUUAUAAGGCAGACCUAAAUCCGAGAUCUAUAGC
rnacentral:pre_miRNA from 1 species